AAAAUGUUGUCGACUUGUGGGUAAAGCCCAGGCCUGAGUUCAGUCUAACUUUAAACACAGAACAAGUAACAUCGUUUUGUUUCUUCUAAUUUUUAAAUUUAAUUUAAUUUCAAUAAUAUUAUUUUCAUUAAUUUUUUUUUUUUGAGUCGAUAUGUCGGACACUUUAUUAAUUUCAUCUGCUGGCAGUGCCACCGAGUCUGCUCUUGCAGAUUCUAGUGGAGUGCGACCCGUUUCUGGAUUUCGCAAUUAUCUGCAUCAAUCAAGAGGAUUGUGGUAACUCAAUAUGAGUUAUUUUCUUAAAUAAUAACUACACGGUAACUAACAAUUGUCUACUUAUUAAUAACAUAUUUAUGGAAUAAGAACUCUCUAUACAUUGCAAAUGAUAUUUUAGACAAAUAUUAACAACGGAGAAUUUUCUUUACAACAAAACUUUACAAAAACUAACCAAAUGAAGAAACACGUCUGAGCGUUUUAAGUCAGUUCUGACAAUUGAACAUUUUUUUUACAAAUCAAGAAAUCUCUAUCGCUAUCUGUAUCUGUGAGUAUUUCAAAUUUUUUGUUUUUCUGAAUGAAAAAAAAAAUGUCUGUUUCAGGUACUUCCCACACAUAUUCUUCCUUUGCUAGUCCACUGUACACCACUUCUAAACUUUCACCAGAUCCUUGUGGUGAUUGAGGAUCAGUGUGUAUAGUUUUAAAACAACUUGUCUGCUUCCUGAAUGGUCAUGGCAUACACGAAGACACGCCCAUGGUCAUGCAGCUGGGCCACAACGCCUGGGACAAGAUCAAGACAGUUUACUCCAUUCUUUUUCACGUGCAAAUUUGAAUGGAUAAAUGCGAUUUGCAUUUUCUGAAAAAUAAAAGCAAUUAAAUAAAUUGAGUCCUUGAAGGGGAUUCCUUUCAUUCGAAAAGACUAUAUCUAGGCUAGGUUAGGUUGAAUGAGUUAGAGCUCCUAUGUAACUGGUGAC
rnacentral:lncRNA from 1 species